rnacentral:rRNA from 1 species
UACGGGGGGGGCAAGCGUUGUUCGGAAUUACUGGGCGUAAAGGGCUCGUAGGUGGCCAACUAAGUCAGACGUGAAAUCCCCAGGCUCAACUUGGGAACUGCGUCUGAUACUGGAUGGCUUGAAUUCGGGAGAGGGGUGCGGAAUUCCAGGUGUAGCGGUGAAAUGCGUAGAUAUCUGGAGGAACACCGGUGGCGAAGGCGGCAUCCUGGACCGACACUGACGCUGAGGAGCGAAAGCCAGGGGAGCAAACGUG